rnacentral:lncRNA from 1 species
GCCCAGCCGAGGCCUGCAGACUCCUCUCCUGGGUCCAGAGGGCCUGCAAGUAAGAAUUUGGUCCAAGGCUUCACCCCAGGCCAGUGCCUCUGCAUGUCCACUCCCACGGGCCGCCCAUUCCAAUCCCUUUGGGCUGCUAGAAGUUCUUCCUUCUGUUGACCUUCAUCAGUUUCCCUGGAGCUUCUGCUACUGGUUCCUUCCCUGGGGUAUGGCAGAGGGAGUCGGCAUCUCAGGAGUCAGAAGACAGUGAGCACCUCCCCGGACUCUGAAACUAAAUGCAGCUUGAGGUUUCAGGAUCCCACAUGGGGAGACAGGUAGAGGCGGUGGCUGCAGAACAUGGCCGAUCCUGGAGUCCCGGCGAGACUGAAGAAACAACUGCUGCUCUGCUGUCCUCCCCUCUCAUCAUCUGACUCACUCCUUUGACUGACAACCAUCCACAGGGACGCCUACACAAAGUGGUCACUCUGCAGUCGACGUAUCAUCCCAGCUACUGGUGGUCAUCGGGGACGCAGAUAUGUGUGUCUCCAUUUUGCAGAUGAGGACAUGGAGGCCUCAAGAGGCUCAGAAGGAAGAAGUCUGCUUCAGGGGCCAGGCCUGGUCAAAGACUCCAUCUUCCCUGGAUGGCCAGAGUCAAAUCCUUGCAAAUCCCGUUCACCAUGGAGCAGAGACGAGACCUAUGUUACCCAGGCUGUAUGUGAAUUCCUGGACUCAAGCAAUCCUCCCAUCUCAGCCUCGUGAGUAGUUG